GACGAACGCUGGCGGCGUGCUUAACACAUGCAAGUCGAACGGAAAGGCCUCUUUCGGGGGGUACUCGAGUGGCGAACGGGUGAGUAACACGUGAGUAACCUGCCCUUGACUUUGGGAUAACUUCAGGAAACUGGGGCUAAUACCGGAUAGGAGCUCCUGCUGCAUGGUGGGGGUUGGAAAGUUUCGGCGGUUGGGGAUGGACUAGCGGCUUAUCAGCUUGUUGGUGGGGUAGUGGCUUACCAAGGCUUUGACGGGUAGCCGGCCUGAGAGGGUGACCGGCCACAUUGGGACUGAGAUACGGCCCAGACUCCUACGGGAGGCAGCAGUGGGGAAUAUUGCACAAUGGGUGGAAGCCUGAUGCAGCAACGCCGUGUGCGGGAUGACGGCCUUCGGGUUGUAAACCGCUUUCGCUCAUGACGAAGCUUUGUGUGACGGUAGUGGGUAAAGAAGCACCGGCUAACUACGUG
rnacentral:rRNA from 1 species